UACGUAGAGUGCGAGCGUUAAUCGGAAUUACUGGGCGUAAAGUGUGCGCAGGCGGUUGAGCAAGUCGAGUGUGAAAGCCCCGGGCUUAACUUGGGAAUUGCGCUCGAAACUACUUGACUGGAGUGUGGCAGAGGAAGGUGGAAUUCCACGUGUAGCGGUGAAAUGCGUAGAGAUGUGGAGGAACACCAAUGGCGAAGGCAGCCUUCUGGGCCAACACUGACGCUCAUGCACGAAAGCGUGGGGAGCAAACAGG
rnacentral:rRNA from 1 species